AGGAGGAAAGAUCGGAAAGGGUUCAGUCCGGUUUCAUCUCCGCUCUGUCAGUUUGAGGUCUCAGCCAUGGAGGCAGUUUGGAAGAGCAAACGGAGUGCAGCUGACUAACUGAGUGAAGACUUGGAGCAUCGUUACUUUCUGGGCUAAAGCACACACUAAGUGGAAUGGGAUAAGGAGGAAGCCUAUUUGCUCCAGUUACUGACC